UAAGGUGGUUAUAGCAGCGGGGCUCACCUCUUUCCAUUCCGAACAGAGCAGUUAAGCCCGUUAGCGCAGAUGGUACUACUAUCUUUGUGGGAGAGUAUGUCGCCGCCUUUU
rnacentral:rRNA from 1 species